rnacentral:lncRNA from 1 species
AGCGGACAAGGCCCGCGAGCCUUGUCCCAACUUUCUCCCUCGGCUUUCCUAGUUUCUUUUCUUUCAAGCCUAAUGGGCGGUUUUGACUUCUUGGUGGCACUGCGUAAUAAGCCAGUGUCACCCCUGUGACUCCCGUCCCCGCACGCGUGAUCUUGUUAAGGAACUAGUCCUGUUGCGCGGAGUUCGGUUGAAUGAGAUUGCCUUUUUUCCUACGAAGAAUAGGUUGGCAGCACAGACUUGUGAGAGGAAGUAGAUGAGUCUUUGGCACUUGUUUAGCCGGAAUAUGAGAAUAAUUUUGGAAAGUAUUCUCUGGCACCAAGGGAUGGGCAGAAGCUGGCUCCUGUAAAAGGACUCCCUGCAGGAAAACGGAGACCUGUAAUGUAGAACCACCGCUUCGCCUUACGGAUGGGAAGUUGAGGACAGUCGUCGCUGUAAAACUGACAGGUGCCCAAUAGGAGAUGAAAAGAAAAAGGGAAAUGGUCCUUCCUUAGGUCGUUGUGUGGUAAGGGGCUCCAGGAAAGAACCACCCCUUUGAAACUGGCUAGUAUGUUGUGUGAGACAGUGAUGAAGACGACUUUUUGUAUGAGAAACAUGAAAGUUUUCGUUGUCUAAAAGGUAAUGUUGACAGAAUUGUAUAAAAAAAAACUUUAAAAGAG